GAUGAACGCUGACAGAAUGCUUAACACAUCAGCAAUUGAUUGGUGGCGGACGGGUGAGUAACGCGUAAAGAACUUGCCUCACAGGUAGGGACAACAUUUGGAAACGAAUGCUAAUACCUAAUACUGUGAGAGAGCUUUGCGUCCCAUUAUCUAGUUGGAGAGGUAACGGCUCACCAAGGCGAUGAUGGGUAGCCGGCCUGAGAGGGUGAUCGGCAACAAUGGGCCGUGGACACUGCCCUUACUCCUACGGGAGGCAGCAGUGGGGAAUAUUGGACAAUGGACCAACGUAUGAUCCAGCAAUUCUGUGUGCGCGAUGAAGUUUUCGGAAUGUAAAGUGCUUUCAGUUGGGAAGCGAUACCAACAGAAGAAGUGACGACUAAAUUCGUGCCAGCAGCCGCGGUAAUUC
rnacentral:rRNA from 1 species